rnacentral:misc_RNA from 1 species
GGCCAUGUCAAUUGAAUCAGGUCUAUCAUCUCCAUCGAUAUCAUGAGGAACAAGGUUCCUCAUCCAUGAUGGAAAAUUCCACAAUGUACCAGCUCCAGAUGACUGGUGACCCAUCGAUACUAGCAUCUGCUCCAUACCGAUUUUCGACAAGUUCUUUUCUCCUUCUUUCCCUAUCAUUUCCCUCAUAGGAAUCUCAUCUUGAAUAGGCAAGGAUUUGUCUUCUGAUGUAGUCGACUUCAGGUCCCUCAGAACAAUCGUGUCAGGUAAAAGUGAGUGCAUUCUGUAGACGCUAACGAACUCUUCAGUCAAUGAGUAGGGAGUUCCGUGAUCUCUAGGCUUUUUAAGACCAACUAAGCCACUCAAUACUGGUCCAAAUUUGGGUCCUAACAAAUCCUUGACUCUCUUCCCCAACAAGCCAUACCAGUUGAUUCUCAUUCCUGCCAUAAGAGUAUCAGUCUUAACAAUUUCAAGCGUCCAAUCAAUAGUAUGGAUUUUUGCAAUGACCGCUGAAGUUAUCAGUCUUGCAUGUCGGUAAACCUUUUCAUCAUCAAAUUCAGGGUAAUGUUCUUUAAGCAUAUCACAUAUGGCAUUAUGUUCCUUCACAAACAAGGCCUGCAAGAGAGAGUAGCCUGCCCAAUAGUUUCGGACAUCUCCAGAUAUUGGAAUGCCUUUAUCAUCAUGUUCCAGAAGUCCAUCACCUGAGAGCCUGAGCUUUCCAUCUUUAAAUCUUCUCACCCUUAUCAUUCCCUCUUCGUUGUUUCCAUAUAUUACACUCCCAUCCCACCAUGGGGUCCUUGAAUUCAAAUGCCCAAACUUCAGAUCAGGUGAACCUGUGGGAAGUUUUUUGGUUUUAAGGAACUUAAAUGACUUCAACGGACACCCUGCUGCAACGUCUUGAGGAGCUCUAAGCUCCACCUGUUCAGUGUCCUCCAUAUGGUCAUUCCAAUCAUGGAUCAUAAAUUGUAACCACGCGCACGCUAUCAUGUUGAAUUGGCCCCCACAAUCUGUGUAUUUUCUUCUUUCCAAGAGCUUGGAGGCCACUGUUACAGGGUGAGGUUCCAGCAGCGCAUAACUUGAAGUGGAUGGUAGCAUGUUGCGGCCAAAGAAGGUUCCUUGACUGCCCACUAAAUGAUCCACAGGAUGAUUGCAUGAACCAUCAGCAGUCCGAUAGGUAAACUCUUCUGUGUCAUAUUUCUUGCCAUUAACUUUCCCUACAUGUAAAAGAUUGUAUCGCUGGUGCAAGUGUCUUCUUAUUCCUAGGUAAGCUGCCCCCAGUAACACCGGCAAUCUAUGCCAUAAGUCAAACUUGUCCACAAGAUGUACAACAUAGAACAAAAUUGUGUCAAAGAAAGACAUCUUUGCAACAACAUGCCGGAGUUGAGGAUGAACAAAGUCUGGAAGAGAAAUUGAGAAUGCCAUGAGAGUUUCUCAACAGUUGACCUCCACAAGAAGUAGUUGAAAAAUAAGCUAAGGCAGCAUCAGCUUUUGUGCGUCCGCCCACAUGCCAAUAAGCAAAGCCUGCAUCAGCUUCCUACGUACGCCCACAAGCCAACAAAUUAUCAAAAUCAAUGAUACAUCAAGCUACAAAAUUCAAGUAACACACAGUAAUUUCU